rnacentral:tRNA from 3 species
GGGGCAGUAGCUCAGUUGGGAGAGCGCGACGUUCGCAAUGUCGAGGUCAGGGGUUCGAUUCCCCUCUGCUCCACCA